rnacentral:lncRNA from 1 species
GGGUUGAGAGCAGGCAAAGUGGUGGGGAUUGCAGAGGAGUCUUAUGAAAUCAGAUGCGAUUUUAGAUGUCUGAAAGACUUUCUUUAGGCUAAAGGCAGCUGAAGAUCAAUUGCACUGUUGGCAAAUGUGCUUCCAGCUGGUUGGAGCCUCUCUUGAGGGACAGUUUCAACCCAGGGCCCAUUGCAAUGAUAGUACAGGAAAGGGCUUUCAUUUGCUUUUGGUCUAAAGACCUUCUGCUGCCCAGUUCCACCAGUGAGAAGAGAAACUGGAGAUGAUGUGGGAGAGUGACAACAGCAUUAUAACUGCUGAUAUGAAGAAAAGAUGGAAACAGUCUCCUGAGGGUCAAGGUGAGACUGACCAACACCAGAUUGCUGGUAUUCACCAGCAGCAGUAAAUCCCUGAUCACAGGUGCUGGAAGUCUCUUCAGAGAAACAAUAUUGCUGCAGGGGACAAACAACUAGUCCUGACCUUCUUUACACAGCCAUUCUCUGGGAAAAAUUAUCCCCCGAAGUCAAUGUGGAUUCUGCCUAGCUUUCAUCAGAAGAAAAAUGCCUGGAUUGAAAAGACAACAACAAAUAAUAGGUGUUGGUGAUUUGCACUCUCUCCACCUAAAUCAGAUAUCUGGCACAUCAAUACUUAGAAGGCUUAGGAGAAGAAGAAAACAUCAAUAUUUCACUGUACACAAAAAGUUGCACAACUCCCCAGAUUUUAUUUUAAUGUCAGCUGCGGUUAUUUCAUAGUUUUGGGGGUUUUUUUGGUUUUUUUUUUGGUUUUUUUUUUUUUUGCAAGAUGAAUGAUUUCCACUUCUUUUUGAAUCCUACCUGUGCAAAUAGCUUGUUUUUCUCCCUAGCAAGUGUUAGCAAGGGACUGCGAGGGUUUUGCUCAGGCUCAGUAGUCAGGCAGUCCUAGGGUGCCUGACUUCUAGGAAAAGCCACAGCAGGAACAAACGAGAGCCAGCCGACGCACCAGGCACAGCUUUUGCUGGUCCUCAGCCUAUGUUCCAGCUCACACUCGUGGUAAAUGAAUCUCCGUUAGCAGCUGCAGCACAGACCAACGCCAGGAGGACAGAUCCAGACGAGCUGGAAGCUUCCUCAUGGAGCUGUCCCUAGAAAUGAUGGCCCAUUAUAAGGCAGCUUCACCCUCCUCAGCAGAGCCCACGGCAAUUUAGGACUUGCUCUGCUCUAGUCCAUGCAAUUUCA